UACGGGGGGGGGCAAGCGUUGUUCGGAAUUACUGGGCGUAAAGGGCGCGUAGGCGGUUCGCUAAGUUGGAUGUGAAAACUCUGGGCUCAACCCAGAGCCUGCAUCCAAAACUGGCGGGCUAGAGUUCUGGAGGGGGUAGCGGAAUUCUGGUGUAAGCGGUGAAAUGCGUAGAUAUCAGGAGGAACACCGGUGGCGAAGGCGGCUACCUGGACAGAAACUGACGCUGGAGGCGACGAAAGCCUAGGGGAGCAAACAGG
rnacentral:rRNA from 1 species